UACAGAGGUCUCAAGCGUUGUUCGGAUUCAUUGGGCGUAAAGGGUGCGUAGGUGGCGGGGCAAGUUUGGUGUGAAAUCCCGGGGCUCAACCUCGGAACUGCACUGAAUACUGCCUUGCUAGAGCACUGGAGAGGGAACUGGAAUUUACGGUGUAGCAGUGAAAUGCGUAGAUAUCGAGAGGAACACCUGCGGCGAAGGCGGGUUGCUGGGCUGACACUGACGCUGAGGCGCGAAAGCUAGGGGAGCGAACGGG
rnacentral:rRNA from 1 species